CGUAAGCGCCAAAGGAAUUGAAAAUGGAGGUUAUCUACGAGUGCAUAAUGAAAAAUUUCGCUCCAGAUGGGAUUGAAACUUCAUCCAAUGUUCAAGGGAACAUGGAUUGACAAUUCACUGCACUUAUAAUCACCAUUUUCACUUCACAAAGCACUGAUUCAUCACUUUGUUAGAUGCACUAGACCAACCUUAAAUGCAGAACCAGCUGACGCACUAAGCAUCCAAAAGACGAAGUCACAUCCAAGAAGACUCGUUGACAACGAAACCUCGAUGUCAAUAAGCAACAGCGAGCAAGCAAACAAGCCGCAAGCAAGCAAGUCAUAAGCCAGCAGUAUCUUCAUUGCCUGUAACCAGCCAUAGAAGAAAUCAAAGCGAAAUCCAGCAUAACAAAAACACUUUAUUGGGUUAUGUGAACUAAAGUCAAGUCCAGGAUAAUCUAAACAGUGGGCUCCGUGCCAAACUAUUUAAGCAUGUAGUGUCAUAAUAAAGUAACUAAAUAACUUG